CAUGUGGGUCCCAAUGGCUGGUCCUCGUUCCCACUGCUCCUGGCACAAAGAUGUGGCUUCUCCAUGCUCACCGGCCCUUCUACCCUUGCCACGCUGUCCUGUCUAUUCUGUACCUUAUUAGCUGUGUGAUCUCAGCCUUUGGAUAUUGUGGUGCUAGGAUGUGACAUCUGGAGCUGCAGCAGCCAUUUUGAGACCACAAAGAAUCUGUGAGAAGCUGACCAUUAUCCUAAUACUGAAAAGCUGAAAUAUCCAACCCUGAAACAUCAUACCUAUCAGUUUAUUGUUACCUGAGACAAUAAAUGCUCUAGUCAUUUAAGGCCCUCUUGACUUGGUAUGCAGGUACCUGCAGCCCAAAUCACCCUAAUGAAUCUACCUCUAGUACAGGAUCCAGUUUAGGGUCAAGAAUUGCACUUCGUUGUCAUGUCUCUUCAAUUAUGCACUUUCUACCUGGCCUCCAAUCUUGAUUCUAAUAGAACCUGGCCAUGUGAUUCUAAGCACAUUAUAUCCCCUCUUUGGGCCUCAGUUUCCCCUCUGUAACAAAAAAAGUGUUAGAUUAAAUAAUGAUCAAAACCCCUUCCUAGGAUUUUGCUGUCAUUUUCCAUAUGACACCAACUCUCUAAAUUCUUUCCUUAUUUUCUUCUAAAAGGAAAAAAAUGU